GAUCAUGGCUCGGGAUGAACGCUAGCGGCAGGCUUAACACAUGCAAGUCGAGGGGCAGCGGGGUGUAGCAAUACACUGCCGGCGACCGGCGCACGGGUGCGUAACGCGUAUGCAACCUACCCAUAACAGGGGCAUAACACUGAGAAAUUGGUACUAAUUCCCCAUAACAUUCGAAGAGGCAUCUCUUUGGGUUGAAAACUCCGGUGGUUAUGGAUAGGCAUGCGUUGUAUUAGCUAGUUGGUG
rnacentral:rRNA from 1 species